GUUAUAAUAAUUUAAAAAAAAUAAUGGUUUUGUAAACCAAAUUUGAUUAUACUCUUAUAAUU
rnacentral:tRNA from 1 species